GUGACCACAGCAGGCGACUGUCCCCCGGUGGAACUCCAGCACUGACAAAGAUGGCAGCAGAGAGUCAGCUAAUGGGGAAAUGCUUCCAAAAUGAGCUACAACUCCAGAUAUCAAUUAUUCUGCCACCCACCUGCUUCCCUAUAUGCCACUUCCUUUGAAGGAACACAUUUCUGGAACUACCAGGCUACAAUCCAGAAAACAGAAGCUGUUCUUGGUAUUCUGAGUAGGAAAGAGCUUCGUACAGGGAAUUAGAGGAGACACAGCUAUUGGAAAGUCAAGAGAGCAUAGAUCAGGAAGGUCGCUUUCAGGAAAUCCAGAAGUACAGGAUCAUUGGAAAGCCACCACCAAUGGCCUCAGCUUCUGCAGCAUGAACAUAGUUCAUUUUCAGAAAGACCUGCAUUGCGGUUGGAAGUCACUGCCAAUGAUCCCAGCUGCCUACAGCACAGAAGCAGAUUAUUCUUAAGAAAAUGCUCUAAAGCAAGCCACCAGUAAAAUCCUACAUUAGCUGUCUGCUCAUGCUUCUAUGAGGAAAACAGCAUCUCUCUUCUUUCUGCCUUCCCAAAUCUUUGGAAAUCCCCCUUUGGAGGAAUCCAACCAAGACCUUCCUGGCAAGGGAGACUGAGAAUGCAGUUUCUGUUUUCUCCCCCUGCAGUUCAGAUAAGACUGCUUAGAUGGGUGAUGAUAAUAUUGAAAACCAAAAAUAAUAUCCUGCACACUGAAGCUCACAGAAAUUAUUAAAGGUCACGACUAUUAUAUUUUUGACCAUUUUAAUUUUCCUGCACCAUCUUAUCCUGCUCUAUGUAUCUUGUUUAGCAUGUCGAUAGCAUAUAAUAAAUUAUUUGAGGACAAUAGCAUAAGAAAAGUAAGGUUCCUUCAAGGUCUAAAGUUUUAGCCUAUGAGCCUCAAAUAAAUCUGGACUUUGAUAAACAUUAUUAUUGAGUAGAAAAAUUAUGUGAUGAGGAGAGAGGACAAGGCCCACUCCAUAGUUUGCUACUAGAUUCCACCUUAAAGAAAGUGAUAUUCCUUCUCUAGGCCUCAUUAUUUCUCAUCUGGAAUAAAGGUUUUAGACUAGAUAUGUGGUUUCCAGACUUUCUGAUAGCUAUGGAGCCAUUCUUGAAAUGAA
ensembl:lincRNA